rnacentral:rRNA from 1 species
AGAGGGGGAUAACACUUGGAAACAGGUGCUAAUACCGCAUAACCAUAGUUACCGCAUGGUAGCUAUGUAAAAGGUGGCUAUGCUACCGCUUUUGGAUGGGCCCGCGGCGCAUUANCUAGUUGGUGGGGUAAAGGCUUACCAAGGCAAUGAUGCGUAGCCGAACUGAGAGGUUGAUCGGCCACNUUGGGACUGAGACACGGNCCAANNCNNACGGGAGGCAGCAGUAGGGAAUCUUCCACAAUGGGCGAAAGCCUGAUGGAGCAACGCCGCGUGGGUGAAGAAGGUCUUCGGAUCGUAAAACCCUGCUGUUAGAGAAGAAAGUGCGUGAGAGUAACUGUUCACGUUUCGACGGUAUCUAACCAGAAAGCCACGGCUAACUACGUGCCAGCAGCCGCGGUAAUACGUAGGUGGCAAGCGUUAUCCGGAUUUAUUGGGCGUAAAGGGAACGCAGGCGGUCUUUUAAGUCUGAUGUGAAAGCCUUCGGCUUAACCGGAGUAGUGCAUUGGAAACUGGGAGACUUGAGUGCAGAAGAGGAGAGUGGAACUCCAUGUGUAGCGGUGAAAUGCGUAGAUAUAUGGAA